CCUACGGGUGGCAGCAGUGGGGAAUAUUGGGCAAUGGGCGAAAGCCUGACCCAGCAACGCCGCGUGAAGGAAGCAGGCUUUCGGGUUGUAAACUUCUUUUGACAGGGAAGAGCAGAAGACGGUACCUGUCGAAUAAGCCACGGCUAACUACGUGCCAGCAGCCGCGGUAAUACGUAGGUGGCAAGCGUUGUCCGGAUUUACUGGGUGUAAAGGGCGUGUAGCCGGGCUGACAAGUCAGAUGUGAAAUCCGGGGGCUCAACCCCCGAACUGCAUUUGAAACUGUUGGUCUUGAGUAUCGGAGAGGCAGGCGGAAGUCCUGGUGUAGCGGUGAAAUGCGUAGAUAUCAGGAGGAACACCGGCGGCGAAGGCGGCUUACUGGACUGUAACUGACGUUGAGGCUCGAAGGCGUGGGGAGCAAACAGGAUUAGAUACCCUAGUAGUC
rnacentral:rRNA from 1 species